CCUACGGGUGGCAGCAGUCGAGAAUCAUUCACAAUGGGGGAAACCCUGAUGGUGCGACGCCGCGUGAGGGAAUGAAGGUCUUCGGAUUGUAAACCCCUGUUAUGUGGGAGCAAAUUAAAACGAUCGUAUCACACGAGGAAGAGACGGCUAACUCUGUGCCAGCUGCCGCGGUAAUACAGAGGUCUCAAGCGUUGUUCGGAAUCUCUGGGGGUAAAGGGUGCGUUGGCUGUUUCGUAAGGUGUGUGGUAAAGGCGAGGGCUCAACCCGCGGACGGCACCUGAUACUGUGAGACUAGAGUCAUGGAGAGGGAACCGGAAUUCGCGGUGUAGCAGUGAAAUGCGUAGAUAUCGAGAGGAACACUCGUGGCGAAGGCGGGUUCCUGGACAUUAACUGACGCUGAGGCACGAAGGCGAGGGGAGCGAAAGGGAUUAGAUACCCCAGUAGUC
rnacentral:rRNA from 1 species